GGCUAGUGGCGGACGGGUGAGUAACGCGUGGGAAUCUGCCCUCAGGAGGGGGAUAACGGCCGGAAACGGCCGCUAAUACCCCAUAUGCCGAGAGGUGAAAUGAAUUUCGCCUGAGGAUGAGCCCGCGUCUGAUUAGCUAGUUGGUGGGGUAAUGGCCCACCAAGGCGACGAUCAGUAGCUGGUCUGAGAGGAUGAUCAGCCACACUGGGACUGAGACACGGCCCAGACUCCUACGGGAGGCAGCAGUGGGGAAUUUUCCGCAAUGGGCGAAAGCCUGACGGAGCAACGCCGCGUGAGGGAUGAAGGCCUCUGGGCUGUAAACCUCUUUUCUCAAGGAAGAAGACAUGACGGUACUUGAGGAAUAAGCCACGGCUAAUUCCGUGCCAGCAGCCGCGGUAAUACGGGAGUGGCAAGCGUUAUCCGGAAUUAUUGGGCGUAAAGCGUCCGCAGGCGGCCUUGUAAGUCUGUCGUUAAAGCGUGGAGCUUAACUCCAUUUCAGCGAUGGAAACUACAAGGCUUGAGUGUGGUAGGGGCAGAGGGAAUUCCCGGUGUAGCGGUGAAAUGCGUAGAUAUCGGGAAGAACACCAGUGGCGAAGGCGCUCUGCUGGGCCAUAACUGACGCUCAUGGACGAAAGCCAGGGGAGCGAAAGGGAUUAGAUACCCCUGUAGUCCUGGCCGUAAACGAUGAACACUAGGUGUCGGGGGAAUCGACCCCCUCGGUGUCGUAGCUAACGCGUUAAGUGUUCCGCCUGGGGAGUACGCACGCAAGUGUGAAACUCAGAGGAAUUGACGGGGGCCCGCACAAGCGGUGGAGUAUGUGGUUUAAUUCGAUGCAACGCGAAGAACCUUACCAGGGUUUGACAUCCUGCGAAUCCCUUGGAAACGAGGGAGUGCCUUCGGGAGCGCAGAGACAGGUGGUGCAUGGCUGUCGUCAGCUCGUGUCGUGAGAUGUUGGGUUAAGUCCCGCAACGAGCGCAACCCACGUCUUUAGUUGCCAGCAUUCAGUUGGGCACUCUAGAGAGACCGCCGGUGAUAAACCGGAGGAAGGUGUGGAUGACGUCAAGUCAUCAUGCCCCUUACAUCCUGGGCUACACACGUACUACAAUGCUACGGACAAAGGGUUGCAAGCUCGCGAGAGUUAGCUAAUCCCAUAAACCGUGGCUCAGUUCAGAUCGUAGGCUGCAACUCGCCUACGUGAAGGAGGAAUCGCUAGUAAUCGCAGGUCAGCAUACUGCGGUGAAUACGUUCCCGGGCCUUGUACACACCGCCCGUCACACCAUGGAAGUUGGCCAUGCCCGAAGUCGUUACUCCAACCCUUGUGGAGGAGGACGCCGAAGGUGGGGCUGAUGACUGGGGUGAAGUCGUAACAAGGUAGCCGUACCGGAAGGUGCGGCUGGAUCACCUCCU
rnacentral:rRNA from 1 species